rnacentral:rRNA from 1 species
GGGGAGACCGGCGAACGGGUGAGUAUACGCGAGGAACCCGCCUUGUAGAUCGGAAUAACCAUGGGAAACUGUGGCUAAUGCCGGAUAAUCUCGGAUGACCCCAUGGACGUCUGAGGAAAAGGUCUGCCGCUACGGGAUGGCCUCGCGGCCUAUCAGCUAGUUGGUGAGGGAACGACUCACCAAGGAGACGACGGGUGGCUGGAGUGAGAGCGCCACCACUGGCACUGGGACUGAGACACGGCUCAUACUCCUAGGGGAGGGAGCGAUGGGGAAUCUUGCGCAAAGGGCGAAAGCCUGACCCCCCCACGCCGCUUGCGGGAAGAAGGCCUUCUGUUUGUAAACCGCUUUCAGGAGGGAAAAAGCGAAAGUGACGGUACCUCCAGAAGAAGCCCCGGCCAACUCCGUGCCAGCAGCCCCGGUAAUACGUAGGGGGCAACCGUUCUCCGGAAUUAUUGGGCGUAAAGAGCUCGUAUGCGGCCUUUUAAGUCGCUGGAGAAAUCUCGCGGCUCAACCCCGAAACCUGUGCCCGAUACUGGAGGAUUUGAGGCAGGUAGGGGAAGGUGGAAUUCCUGGUGUAGCGGUGAAAUGCGCAGAUAUCAGGAGGAACACCCGUGGCGAAGGCGGCCUUCUGGGCCUGUUCUGACGCUGAGGAGCGAAAGCGUGGGGAGCAAACAGGAUU